rnacentral:rRNA from 1 species
CCUUACCAGGCCUUGACAUGGCAGAGAACUUUCCAGAGAUGGAUUGGUGCCUUCGGGAACUCUGACACAGGUGCUGCAUGGCUGUCGUCAGCUCGUGCGUGAGAUGUUGGGUUAAGUCCUGUAACGAGCGCAACCCUUGUCCUUAGUUACCAGCACGUUAUGGUGGGCACUCUAAGGAGACUGCCGGUGACAAACCGGAGGAAGGUGGGGAUGACGUCAAGUCAUCAUGGCCCUUACGGCCUGGGCUACACACGUGCUACAAUGGUCGGUACAAAGGGUUGCCAAGCCGCGAGGUCGGAGGCUAAUCCCAUAAAACCGAUCGUAGUCCGGAUCGCAGUCUGCAACUCGACUGCGUGAAGUCGGAAUCGCUAGUAAUCGUGAAUCAGAAUGUCACGGUGAAUACGUUCCCGGGCCUU